rnacentral:rRNA from 1 species
GACGAACGCUGGCGGCGUGCUUAACACAUGCAAGUCGAACGGAAAGGCCCUGCUUUUGUGGGGUGCUCGAGUGGCGAACGGGUGAGUAACACGUGAGUAACCUGCCCUUGACUUUGGGAUAACUUCAGGAAACUGGGGCUCAUACCGGAUAGGAGCUCCUGCUGCAUGGUGGGGGUUGGAAAGUUUCGGCGGUUGGGGAUGGACUCGCGGCUUAUCAGCUUGUUGGUGGGGUAGUGGCUUACCAAGGCUUUGACGGGUAGCCGGCCUGAGAGGGUGACCGGCCACAAUGGGACUGAGAUACGGCCCAGACUCCUACGGGAGGCAGCAGUGGGGAAUAUUGCACAAUGGGCGGAAGCCUGAUGCAGCAACGCCGCGUGCGGGAUGACGGCCUUCGGGGUGUAAACCGCUUUCGCCUGUGACGAAGCGUGAGUGACGGUAAUGGGUAAAGAAGCACCGGCUAACUACGUG